UACGGAGGGUGCAAGCGUUAUCCGGAUUCACUGGGUUUAAAGGGUGCGUAGGUGGGCAGGUAAGUCAGUGGUGAAAUCUCCGGGCUUAACCCGGAAACUGCCAUUGAUACUAUUUGUCUUGAAUACCGUGGAGGUCAGCGGAAUAUGUCAUGUAGCGGUGAAAUGCUUAGAUAUGACAUAGAACAUCAAUUGCGAAGGCAGCUGGCUACACGAAUAUUGACACUGAUGCACGAAAGCGUGGGGAUCAAACAGG
rnacentral:rRNA from 1 species